UUGGCAUAUGUGCAGGAGCACACUGAAAAAAGAAACGAACUUAACAGAAAUUGUGAAAUGCAUCAUGCAACUCAAAUGCAUAUACAGCUUUGAUAGGUAAAUAAAAUUUGAAUAAGUAAUUAUAAUUUCAAUUGGCCAUUUGAAUUUCUUUUACCAUGGCCAUUGUGCUCCUGAGAUUAAUGAAUAUAAAAGAAAGAAAAGUUUAUCAACUUCCUACCUCCUUGAGAACCAGUACUAAAUGAGGUAUUUAUACAUAGCUGGAGGGAGCUACCUGAAGAGGUUAAAGGAUAGUUAAGGAUGGAUAAAUUACUUGCAAUUCUCAUCUUCCAGGUGUAAACAGCAAAAAGGAAAUACCAAUUUUGAAAACUAAAAAGAAUACAUGUCUAAUUUAGGAAUGAUAAGGUUGUACAGAGCUAAUGUAAAUAGAGUCCUUUAUGAUCUUAGAUUUGUAAGAACUGGGGGCUGUAUAUUGUUCCAGGAAAGCUAGGCUCAAAGUCCUCUUCCUUAUGUAAUCGUGUUUCAGCAUAUAUAACCUUUUUCCACCCAGAAACCAAGCAGGGAGGUUCCUUUAUAAAAAAGACCGCCAUUACAAAAGGGUGAAAAACUAAAUAUCAUCUUGAACAGGGAACUGCUUCGAUCAUAGUUGAAGACUGGUAAAAUCCAUCAAGAGAAGAAAUAAGAUUAGAGUAGAGUUUUAGUACAAUAUAGGAAUGCAAAACAAGAGAAAGAAACGGUUAGAAUACUAAUACCAAAUUGGCUCGAAAAUAGCAUUGUGUGAUAUUAUUUUUUUUGGGUAAGUAGCAUAAGUUCCUGUGUAAUUCUAAUCUUGGUGCUCUUCUCUCAAGCAAUCCAUAGAAUCUCAAGCAACUUGACGUGCGAUGUUAUCAAUUAGUUGAUCUAUUAGUGUGUCUAAAACAUAUUAACAUUCAUAUUAAACUUUACAUAAGUCACCUCACAUCAUUGUUACAAAAUGAGCUUAACUAAUUAACACAUUGGCUUUAUUAUCUCACAUAUUAAUAUUAUUAACUCAAACACUCAAGAUUAUAAAAAAUAUCACGUAAAAGCAUUCAAACAUCCGAAGAUCGAAAGAAACACAUAUUCUUGCAUUAAAAGCUAUCGCAUUGAAUAAUGAAAUACCAGCCUUAAUAUCUUGCAAUAUAGCUUUUAAAGAAUCCAUUUGGAACUCCAAAUCUUGUCCCUUCUUUAAAUAACCUCAAUUGUUUGUUUAAAUGUCACUUUACCAAAAUAACUCUCUCCUAAAAGAACUUAAAUGUAAGCCCGAGAAAUCAAAAAAUUAUCCAAAAGCAUAGUUGUGUAGAAACAAUUCUCUGCAACAACUCAAAAUUAGGAUUACUGUUCACAUUUAGUUUAACUAACACAAAAUUAAUUGAAAAGAAGUGGCUUCAUGCCCUCAUCUUUUGUUCAGAAAAGGAAUUCACAAGAAUGCUACAACCAAUAAAGAAGGUAAAAACUGAACCAUAUGUCUAGAAGUCUUGUUGAUCAAAUAUAUAUCAUCAGAUAAGAAAAAUAAAGUUAGAUAUACAUGCCAACUAAACCUUUGCCAUUCAACACUUUUUAGCUACUUUUUAUACAAAAAAAACGCCAGCAACUAAUGCUUGUUGCACCUGAAAUUGGUACAUCAUAAACUCACACAUAAUUCAAGAUAAGUCGAAUAACUCCAAUCAGGAUUGAUUACUAAUAUUUUUUUGUCUAAUGACAUAACAAAAAAGCUAAAAGGCUCAUACUAUCUGUAAAAAGUCAUCGCAUUGGUAAAAAAUUGACAAUAUACUUUAUAUUUGACGCAUGUAAGGUGUAUUCAUUACUGGAAGCACCAAGAAAGUGCUGAUUUACGAAAGAUAAAAGAAACUGGAGAUCCAAGAGCACACACAAUAAAUGAUUGAUAGGUUUAUCUCUAAAAUUAAUUGCCACAACAAAAACAGAAAGAAAUUUAAAAUAUAUGCCUAAUCUUCGUGGAAAGGUUUUCUAAUGCUUCUAUAAGGUAGGAGUACUUUAAACAUACUUGUUUAAAGUAUGCAAGAAUAUGUGUGUCAACAAACUUCAUACAAUAGAGGAGCAGAAAGCUAUGACUUUUCUGCUGAAGCCACUGGAUAUGGCGGCAAAGUUGCCGGUAAUGUCAUUUUUUACUGCACGCUCUACCAUUUGACUCUGAUUAUAAAGCUCAUUUGUCAUUUUUAUUGUAUUGCUAUUAUUGUAUUGCUGUUAUUUUAUUAUGCAUUUUUAUGGUACUAAUAUAUCGGUUUCGGUUGCUUUUUGAGUCGAUGGUCUCCUGGAAACAGCCUCUCUACCCUUCGGGGUAGGGGUAAGGUCUGCGUACAUAUUACCCUCCCCAGACCCCACGUGUGGGAUUAUACUGGGUUGUUGUUGUUGUUGUAACAUCCCCAAUUUAGAAUCUUAUGUAAAAAUUAUAGAAUCCCAGAAACUACAGAAUCAUAAUUACCAAUUUAUAACCAAAAAAAUAAAUGCAAACACUUAAAUUAAUCAAUUACCUUUCUAAAGCAAAGUUGGACCUUUAGAGUAAGCUAAACCCAACUUGUGUAUUCAAAUACUUGGUUAAGAACUCCAUGAAUCGAACUGAAAUGUCAAGCAACGCCACUUUAAAGAAACCUAACGGCAGAAAUGAAGCUUCAUUUAUUUGAGAUUCACAAAUCAAAGAUGAAAUUUACAUUUUAGGAACAAAAGAAAUUUUUAGAAAAACAAUGAGCGAAGAGUUUGAUAGAGAGAGAGAAAGAGAGAAACAAAGAGCCCAAAAUGAGACUUAAAAGUUAAUUCGAUGUAAUAAAAAAAAAA
rnacentral:lncRNA from 1 species